rnacentral:rRNA from 1 species
AGUGAACGCUGGCGGUAGGCCUAACACAUGCAGGUCGAACGGCAGCACAGUAAGAGCUUGCUCUUACGGGUGGCGAGUGGCGGACGGGUGAGGAAUACAUCGGAAUCUACUUUUUCGUGGGGGAUAACGUAGGGAAACUUACGCUAAUACCGCAUACGACCUACGGGUGAAAGCAGGGGAUCUUCGGACCUUGCGCGAUUGAAUGAGCCGAUGUCGGAUUAGCUAGUUGGCGGGGUAAAGGCCCACCAAGGCGACGAUCCGUAGCUGGUCUGAGAGGAUGAUCAGCCACACUGGAACUUGGACACGGUCCAGACUCCUACGGGAGGCAGCAGUGUGGAAUAUUGGACAAUGGGCGCAAGCCUUAUCCAGCCAUACUGCGUGGGUGAAGAAGGCCUUCGGGUUGUAAAGCCCUUUUGUUGGGAAAGAAAAGCAGCAGGUUAAUACCCCGCUGUUCUGACGGUACCCAAUGAAUAAGCACCGGCUAACUUCGUG